rnacentral:lncRNA from 1 species
CUUCAGCCCAAUGGGGUAUUUAGUUAAAAAAGAAUUUUAGUGCAAAGUUUGCCAACCCAAUAUGUUUAUUGGACUUUAAACUAAAUUAUGAAACAAAGGUUUCAUAAUAGAUUUCAAAAUCUAUUUUAUUUAUUACUUAUAAAGCCCUAAUGACAAUUAUAUAAGCAAAAGUAUUUUUACUUAUUUUAUUUUGGAAGAAUUCAAGUCCCAAAAUCUCACACUUUGGAGGAUUUAAAUUUACAAAUUUUCUGGAGUUUAUUUGAACUUAUUUGGAGUUAGGAAUCAAAAGAUAUAGAUGAAAACAGAAAAUAGAAAAGGAAAAGAAAAAAAAGGAUUGGACCGACCCAACUGGGCCGGCCCAUCUCCCCCAGCGCCCGGCCCAGUCCACCUCCUUUUAUUUUUUUCCCUUUCUUUUUACUCCCGAGCCUUGACCUCUCUUCCCUAGCCCAAGCCAGCCGCACCUUUUAUUUCCGUUGGCCCAGUUCCACCUGAAGCCUCCCCCUCUGGCCCAUUCCCUGGCCGAACUGGCCCAGCCCACCCGCACGAGAGCACGUGCUGUCUUCCUCCUCGCGUCCAGGAGCAGACCACGCAGACACAGCUCCAUGGCCGCCGCAAUCUCUGCCGCCGACCGC